UACGAAGGGGGCUAGCGUUGUUCGGAUUUACUGGGCGUAAAGCGCACGUAGGCGGAUAUUUAAGUCAGGGGUGAAAUCCCAAGGCUCAACCUUGGAACUGCCUUUGAUACUGGGGAUCUCGAGUCCGGAAGAGGUGAGUGGAACUGCGAGUGUAGAGGUGAAAUUCGUAGAUAUUCGCAAGAACACCAGUGGCGAAGGCGGCUCACUGGUCCGGUACUGACGCUGAGGUGCGAAAGCGUGGGGAGCAAACAGG
rnacentral:rRNA from 1 species